AUGAGUUUCUCACGGUUCAUCAAGCCGCAGGACGUUCAGCCUGGGGAGUGGUGAGAUGCUCCCUUGCUCCUGUCUCAGGAAGGUUUCUUUUCUCACUGUGGAUGUUUCCACUGAAGCAAACUCCUCAGUGUUUGCGCCUUGAUGGUUUGAGGUCAGUUGUGGGAAGCAGCAAAUGUUCCAGGCCUAAAAGAUACAAGGAUUCCACCCAGGACACCACAUUACGGUGAGUUGUGGUGCCGUCCAGCCUCCUCUUGGCCAUGACAGUCUCGCAGACGUUUCUUAUCUUCGGUGACGGUUUGAGUCGCACAGCUCAGACACACCUCGAGGCUUUGGGACCUGAGCGUAUGGUCACAGGAGAAAAUCGAUUUGGGAGAAUGCCAUGCAGCACCGUCACACGACAAAGGACUGCUUGUGUUGACUGAUGUUUAGGCAUCUCUGCCCUGUCCGGCCAUCCCUGGUGGACUUGGGGUGCAAGAACCCCAGUGUUCUCUCUGCUGCCCAAGACGUUUUUAUUCAGAUGAAUUCUGGAUAAAAUGGAAAAGAUCAACGAAGAGGAGGGCUGGGGGAGGGUGGGAUUAGCUGACCCCGCAGCCCAUUGAGGAGGUGGGUGAGGGGCCGUGAUGUGGAGGAUGUCUCUCCUGCCGCCAGAUCCCAGAGCUCCGGGCACCUGGGAGAUCAGGUGCCAAUCCCGCUCUUCCCACUUGCCCUGGGUAGCGCCCCUCUAGAUUCUAGUGCCCAGGGCACAUGCUGCUACUCAGUCUUUUCCAGCAAGCCUGAUGGGCCUCCGAACGCCUCCCGGCCCAGCGCUUCGGGCAGGCACCAUGAGCUCCGCCUCCCUUCCAGGCGUGGCAAUGCCUCGCUGUCAAGAACAAGUUUCUGUUGAGCUUGACAUUCCUCUCUCCUGCUUCUGUGGUUGUGGUCACUGUUUGCAAUUUAGAUGUCUCUGGAAGAUUUUCAAGAGUCUUCUUAAAAUGUGGUUGAGGUGUUAUUGCACAGUGGCCGACCAUGGGCUGGGUUCAGGCACUGAUUUGUUUCUGGCUGAAAUGGUGCUCUGGGUAACGGUUACAGGGUAUUUUGCUAGAGAUUUAGUCCAACUCCUCCGUUUUCCUCAUGAGCGUAGUGUCUGUCCAGAGCCAAGCUCCACCCUACUAACUGGAGUUUGCUGGGGUGAGUGUCACUGCACCAGCAUUCAGAAUUGCAAACGAUGGCGGGAGAUACCAGUGUUUUCCUCAUCAAAUGGCAAAAAUUAAAUAAGCUAGUGACCUACAGCACUGAUGGGGAGUGAAAAACAGGCCUCCUCAUAUAUUGUAGCUAAGAAUGUAAAUUAUUACCAUCUUUGGGAAAAUAG
ensembl:lncRNA